ensembl:snRNA U6 U6 spliceosomal RNA
GUGCCCAAUAGCACAUACAGAGCAUAUGGAAUGGUGCAGAGAAGAUCAGUGUGGCUCCUUUACAAUGAUGACACGAAAAUUCAUGAAGAGUUUCACAUUUUU